GACAGAGGGGGCAAGCGUUGUCCGGACUGACUGGGCGUAAAGCGCGCGCAGGCGGUGCGGGGCGUCGGUGCUGAAAUCGGGCCGCUUAACGGCCCGCGGCGUGCCGAUACGCCCGUACUGGAGGGUGGGCGAGGGUGGUGGAAUUGCCGGUGUAGUGGUGAAAUGCGUAGAGAUCGGCAGGAACACCCGUGGCGAAAGCGGCCACCUAGCCCGCACCUGACGCUGAUGCGCGACAGCGUGGGGAGCGAACUGGAUUAGAUACCCAGGUAGUCCACGCCGUAAACGAUGCCGACUCGGUAUCCGGCUGGCUAACGCUGGCGGGGUGCCCCAGCUUACGCGGUAAGUCGGCCGCCUGGGGACUACGAGCGCAAGCUUAAA
rnacentral:rRNA from 1 species